rnacentral:rRNA from 1 species
AUUGAACGCUGGCGGCAUGCUUUACACAUGCAAGUCGAACGGUAACAGGGUGCUUGCACCGCUGACGAGUGGCGAACGGGUGAGUAAUGCAUCGGAAUGUACCGUGUAAUGGGGGAUAGCUCGGCGAAAGCCGGAUUAAUACCGCAUACGCCCUGAGGGGGAAAGUGGGGGACCGAAAGGCCUCACGUUAUACGAGCAGCCGAUGUCUGAUUAGCUAGUUGGUGAGGUAAGGGCUCACCAAGGCGUCGAUCAGUAGCGGGUCUGAGAGGAUGAUCCGCCACACUGGGACUGAGACACGGCCCAGACUCCUACGGGAGGCAGCAGUGGGGAAUUUUGGACAAUGGGCGCAAGCCUGAUCCAGCCAUGCCGCGUGUCUGAAGAAGGCCUUCGGGUUGUAAAGGACUUUUGUCCGGGAGCAAAUCCUAGUGGUUAAUAACCGCUGGGUCUGAGAGUACCGGAAGAAUAAGCACCGGCUAACUACGUG